rnacentral:rRNA from 1 species
CGAAGCGAAGCAGCGAUGUGAAGCAAAUCGCACCAAAGCCGGUCCCAGUUCGGAUAAGAGGCUGAAACUCGCCUCUUUGAAGUCGGAAUCGCUAGUAAUCGCAGAUCAGCAUGUUGCGGUGAAUACGUUUCCUGGUCUUGUACACACCGCCCGUCAAACCAUGAGAGUCGCCAACACCCGAAGUCCGCUUUGCGGCCUAAGGUGGGGGAGAUGAUUGGGGUUAAGUCGUAACAAGGUAUC